AACGAACGCUGGCGGCAUGCCUAACACAUGCAAGUCGAACGAGACCUUCGGGUCUAGUGGCGCACGGGUGCGUAACGCGUGGGAACCUGCCCUUAGGUUCGGAAUAACUCCCCGAAAGGGGUGCUAAUACCGGAUAAUGUCUUCGGACCAAAGAUUUAUCGCCUUUGGAUGGGCCCGCGUUGGAUUAGCUAGUUGGUAGGGUAAAAGCCUACCAAGGCGACGAUCCAUAGCUGGUCUGAGAGGAUGAUCAGCCACACUGGGACUGGGACACGGCCCAGACUCCUACGGGAGGCAGCAGUGGGGAAUAUUGGACAAUGGGCGAAAGCCUGAGCCAGCAAGGCCGCGUGAGUGAUGAAGGCCUGAGGGUUGUAAAGCUCUUUUACCCGGGAUGAUAAUGACAGUACCGGGAGAAUAAGCGCCGGCUAACUCCGUG
rnacentral:rRNA from 1 species